AACGAACGCUGGCGGCAUGCCUAACACAUGCAAGUCGAACGAGACCUUCGGGUCUAGUGGCGCACGGGUGCGUAACGCGUGGGAACCUGCCCUUAGGUUCGGAAUACCUCCCCGAAAGGGGUGCUAAUACCGGAUCAUGUCUUCGGACCAAAGAUUUAUCGCCUUUGGAUGGGCCCGCGUUGGAUUAGCUAGUUGGUAGGGUAAAAGCCUACCAAGGCGACGAUCCAUAGCUGGUCUGAGAGGAUGAUCAGCCACACUGGGACUGAGACACGGCCCAGACUCCUACGGGAGGCAGCAGUGGGGAAUAUUGGACAAUGGGCGAAAGCCUGAUCCAGCAAUGCCGCGUGAGUGAUGAAGGCCUUAGGGUUGUAAAGCUCUUUUACCCGGGAUGAUAAUGACAGUACCGGGAGAAUAAGCUCCGGCUAACUCCGUG
rnacentral:rRNA from 1 species